rnacentral:lncRNA from 1 species
UUGUCUGCAGGUCACAGAGCUGGACACUGCCGUGGUCACUCACCUUCUCAUGGCCAGUGUUUGUCCUUAGCAGAUGAACUGGAUCUGAAUAUCAUUGCGGUGAGAUUUGCGAUAGCAAAAGACACAUUAGCAUGGGAAAACACACAUGGUAGUGCGUGAAGUUCAGCAGCAGUGCAUUACACACAGGCGUUUUCUACUUCUUACUCUGCGGUUUGCUAAUUAGGAACAAUCAGUUCUUUUUAGCCCACCCUUAAGUUAAUGUAACUGAGCUUUGAGAGAUGGCUGGACCAGUUCUCUCUCCACCAUAGAUGCGUGAUCCCUAGUUAGAAGAACACAGGAUCCGGCCCAGCAGGGAGGGCCGUGGAGGAAAUCUGACCUGCAGGGAGGACCGGCUGCCCACAUGGAUGUCCACGGCUUGCUGGACAAAUCUGUCCCGUCACGUGGUUUAGGUCACUGCAGAAGCACAAGCCAUACAUACCCUGUGAGCAGGAAGUGACAGAGUUGUCUACGGGGCAGUAGCUGUCCCUGCCCACUCAGUAAAUGUAUCUGUAUUUUAAGGCUAACCACUCGAGCCCUGCGACUGUUCUCCUCACGCAUAUGGAGGUGUUUGUUUCAGGGGAUUGUUCAGUGUCAUCAAGCAGUCACCCAAGGCCCGAGACAAACCCCAAACCAAAUCCUCCUGCACUGUACAGUGUGCGCUUCAGCAUUCCAAAGACAGGCGGUCCCCACUCGUAUCCCUUCCCCUAAAGCUAUUUAUAUGUUCUAUAUGUAAAUACCGGUGUACAUAGACGGAUAUGCGGUCUGUGUGUACAUAGACGGAGAUGCAGGUUCUGUGUGCAUAGACAGACAGAUACACGUGGGCUCUGCAUAGACGAGGAGUCCGUCUUGUAAAUAGAAGCAGGAGUCCGGUCUCACAGAGUAUCUGCGGCCACUCCCUGGUGCACCUCAGACCCGUGUCCUGCUCACUGUUAAUAAAUGGAUAUCUUUUUCACUGUAACAUAAAGCUGGGCUCUAUUUUUUUUUUUUUCUGAAAAGAAAAUUGCCUUUAUUUUCUCUCAUUGCCUCCUUGGUUUCAGAAGAGAGCAGUUUAUUAUAUAUAUUCCGUGGACUUGUUCACUAAGAGAAUGUCCUGAAGAGACACUUCACUGUUCAUGUGAAAGGGCGUCUUCUGAUUUCUUCACGUUUGUCUCUGUAUAUACAUAAUAUUGACAGUGACAUAAAAACUUUUGUUAUGUGAAAAUAUUUAAGUCAGAGAACUGUUAAAUAUUAUUACUUUUUUCCAAACUGAUUUGUGUAUUAUAUAUUUUUUUAAGAAGAAAAAAGCCUUACUUGACUUCUUGUAAUACUGGACUUAAAAACCCAAGGCCCCCUGAAUGUCGGUGUGCACACCUGGCUGUGGUAGUGUUUUCAGAAUAAUUGUAAUUGUGCGAGAGUUUUAAAGUCUCUGCUAUUAAUGCACUUUUUAUUUUAUAAUUUUGUAUUAAAAUAUUUUAGAAAUAUUAAUUAAUUUUAGUGAACAGGUAUCCCCAAAAUUGAAAUUAUUGGAUUUAAAUCUUUGUGCUCUACCUGGGUUAUUUAUUUUCCUUUCAGCAUUAACUGUCACCUCAGGACAUCUGUAAGCAGUUGGCUGCCUCCUGGCUGCGCAGUGCAUGCCGGGCGCUGGCUGUGCAGUCACCGACCUAUGUAAGUACGGCCUGACCAGGGGAAGCUGAAGCCUGAUUUUACUUUGGUUAAGGAAAAGAAAAUCUACCAGUAACCCAUUUUGUGUCUUUUCUCAGUUUAUUAGCAAACAAGUAUGACAUGUGUGUAUUUUGAUUUACUUCCUUACCAUCAAAGCUGCUUCUUUACCAACAUUCCUUGAGAAGACAAGGGUAUGAGAAGACCACUCACUUGAAUAUUGUGGUUUACAGGUUGAGCUCUGUAUCUUAAUGUUUGAAAUGCUGUGUUAGGAAAGUGGUUUCUAGCCUCAUGUGUAACCAGGGUUUUGAGGAUAGAGAACUGUAUUUUUAGAACUCUAUAUAACAUAACUGUUUUGAAAUAACUAAAUGCAAAAUGACAUU